GAUCAACGCUGGCGGCGUGCCUAAUACAUGCAAGUCGAGCGAACAGACGAGGAGCUUGCUCCUCUGACGUUAGCGGCGGACGGGUGAGUAACACGUGGAUAACCUACCUAUAAGCCUGGGAUAACUUCGGGAAACCGGAGCUAAUACCGGAUAAUAUAUUGAACCGCAUGGUUCAAUAGUGAAAGACGGUUUUGCUGUUACUUAUAGAUGGCUCCGCGCCGCAUUAGCUAGUUGGUCAGGUAACGCCUUACCAAGGCAACGACGCGUAGCCGACCUGAGAGGGUGAUCGGCCACACUGGAACUGAGACACGGUCCAGACUCCUACGGGAGGCAGCAGUAGGGAAUCUUGCGCAAUGGGCGAAAGCCGGACGGAGCAACGCCGCGUGGGUGAUGAAGGUCUUCGGAUCGUAAAACUCUGUUAUUAGGGAAGAACAAAUGUGUAAGGAACUAUGCGCGUCUUGACGGUACCUAAUCAGAGAGCCACGGCUAACUACGUG
rnacentral:rRNA from 1 species